rnacentral:rRNA from 1 species
UACGUAGGGGGGCUAGCGUUGUCCGGAAUCAUUGGGCGUAAAGAGCGCGUAGGCGGCCAGAUAAGUCCGGUGUGAAAGUCACAGGCUCAACCUGUGAAUGCCGCUGGAAACUGUCUGGCUAGAGUCCGGAAGGGGCGAGUGGAAUUCCUGGUGUAGCGGUGAAAUGCGCAGAUAUCAGGAGGAACACCAAUGGCGAAGGCAGCUCGCUGGGACGGUACUGACGCUGAGGCGCGAAAGCGUGGGGAGCAAACAGG